UUUUUUUUUAAACUUUUUUUUUUCUUCUUCAAGAAUUUGUGGGUGUAACUUUAUUUUAUCCAAAACAAAAAACAAUUUCAUUUGUUCUAAAAAGAAUGUUACAUUUGUAUCCCUCUAAGCUGAAAACGAAACAAAAAAGAACAUCUGACAAAUGUCAACCCAAACAUUGACAAGUGCUUCUAAUAUCAAUCUUCCAGGCAGCUGACCAAGAGGACCAGAUUCUUUAGCCACAACACUCAAAGCAGAAAAGUAGACAUUGUUUUCCUCUUGGUAAACUGCCUGAUAAAUUAACUUUAUGUAGUCACCAUUAUAACCCCAACACUUGUUUGGUCUUAAUUCUUUUGAAGGUAAUAUUUUCCAUUAUCAACCCCCUCCCACCCCCUUUUUUUUCUCCUCUCACCCUAGAGGAUGGCUUAUAGUUUUAGUGUUUCAGAGAACUGACCUGACACUGUUGAAGGAUCAAUAGCAUGUGGUGAUGAAAUGAUCAUGAACAUGAUAAUUGUAGACAUACCCACAGAGCUAUUCUGAAACAAAUGUUUUAAACAAGCAAACACACAUUUAUUUAUUUUUUUUUUUAAAGACUUUAGGAUGGAACACACACCCCCCCUUCACUAGUUCUAGAACAAAGUAAAAAAAAAAAAAAAAAAAAAAAAAAAAAAA